rnacentral:rRNA from 1 species
AACUUUCAGCAACGGAUCUCUUGGCUCUCGCAUCGAUGAAGAACGCAGCGAAAUGCGAUAAGUAAUGUGAAUUGCAGAAUUCAGUGAAUCAUCAAAUCUUUGAACGCACCUUGCGCUCCUUGGUAUUCCGAGGAGCAUGCCUGUUUGAGUGUCA